rnacentral:rRNA from 1 species
UGUUUCGGCAAGGGGGUCAUCCCGACUUACCAACCCGAUGCAAACUGCGAAUACCGGAGAAUGUUAUCACGGGAGACACACGGCGGGUGCUAACGUCCGUCGUGAAGAGGGAAACAACCCAGACCGCCAGCUAAGGUCCCAAAGUCAUGGUUAAGUGGGAAACGAUGUGGGAAGGCCCAGACAGCCAGGAUGUUGGCUUAGAAGCAGCCAUCAUUUAAAGAAAGCGUAAUAGCUCACUGGUCGAGUCGGCCUGCGCGGAAGAUGUAACGGGGCUAAACCAUGCACCGAAGCUGCGGCAGCGACACUAUGUGUUGUUGGGUAGGGGAGCGUUCUGUAAGCCUGUGAAGGUGUACUGUGAGGUAUGCUGGAGGUAUCAGAAGUGCGAAUGCUGACAUAAGUAACGAUAAAGCGGGUGAAAAGCCCGCUCGCCGGAAGACCAAGGGUUCCUGUCCAACGUUAAUCGGGGCAGGGUGAGUCGACCCCUAAGGCGAGGCCGAAAGGCGUAGUCGAUGGGAAACAGGUUAAUAUUCCUGUACUUGGUGUUACUGCGAAGGGGGGACGGAGAAGGCUAUGUUGGCCGGGCGACGGUUGUCCCGGUUUAAGCGUGUAGGCUGGUUUUCCAGGCAAAUCCGGAAAAUCAAGGCUGAGGCGUGAUGACGAGGCACUACGGUGCUGAAGCAACAAAUGCCCUGCUUCCAGGAAAAGCCUCUAAGCAUCAGGUAACAUCAAAUCGUACCCCAAACCGACACAGGUGGUCAGGUAGAGAAUACCAAGGCGCUUGAGAGAACUCGGGUGAAGGAACUAGGCAAAAUGGUGCCGUAACUUCGGGAGAAGGCACGCUGAUAUGUAGG